UCGUCAUUCGUAGUUGACAGACAGUCCCUUUAAACAGCGAAUGUUUUGAUAAUGUCACGUGCACUGUAUGCGUUUUGUCACAAAAAGGUACCGCUUGGGUGUCUGUUCCCCACAUUCUCCUGGGAAUUUUGAACAAUCAUGUCGACUUAUAAAGUUGAACUUAUUUUGACUGUGGCGAGCGAAACCGAUCUGAAAACUGUAAUUGAAAGAGCAACGGAGGAUAAAAUGGCCUUCGAUGUGAUGGGAAGAGAACUUCGCUUCCAGGACAGUGACGAACUAAAGAUGUUAAAGGAAUGGUGCGAAGGCCAGGGAAUCAAACUUAUUUAAGAUUCCGACAUCAACUAUCAACCGGCAAAAUUUGACGACGGACAUGGCAAACCUGGCAGUCGACAAUAGGUAUUUCAACUUCUAACGGCACAAAUCGACGACGGACCUUCGCAUGGCAAACCUGAUUGGUGGAUUUAUGCAUGGACUUUUUCGACUCCCAGUCCAAGCGGAUAUAUCGAACUUAAGUUAUUGACACAUACUAUUACAAUGUGCAAAUACACCAUGCACGAAAUAUUCUAAAUCAGUUACUACAACUCAACUCAACAUAGACAGUUCUUUGAUGUAUGUAUAUUUAUAGCUAAAAACGAAGUCUGAGAGAGAAAAUUCUAACGUAAUUUGGACAUUUUUAUCAAUGUGCAACUGUGCAAAAUAUUUCGGAUGUUUCUAUAUCUUAAAAAUGUUUUUUUUUGCCGUGAUCGGUGGAAUUGUGACAUUAAUAAUGGAUAAACCUAGUAUCAUAUUCAUCUGUUAAAUAUCAGCUAUAUAACAUAUAUAACAUGUAAUAUAUAUGAGUCGCGUUCUAGGAAAACCGGCCUUAAUGCAUGUGCGUAAAGUGUAAAGUGGAGUCGGCACAGGCUAAUCUGGGACAAUACUUUUCGCCUACACUCGAUUAUCGUUUAAAAGAGACCUCCUUUAAACAAAACAUUCCAUACACGCGGAAAGUGUCAUAAGUGUCAUGUCUCAUUAGACUGUGCGGAACGCACAUGCUAAUCUGCGACGACACUUAAUGCACGUGCAUUAAACCCAGUUUUCCCAGAACGCGACUCAUAUAUAACAUAUAUCAACUUCAAACCAUAGAUUUUUGAUGUUGAACUUUCUACAGUAAAUAUCUAUUGUCGACUGUCGCUUGUACGCUAGUUAGUGUAAAAGUUAUCUUAAAGGCAACAGACUAGAUUUUACACCUGGGAGAGGAUAAAUGUUUAUAAAAUAUCCUUGCUGGAAGUUUCAAGAAAACCUUGCAACUAUAACCUAAUUUAACAGCUAUAUAAUAUCUAUCAACUUCAAACUAAAGAUUUUUGCUAUUGAUCUUUCUACAGUAAAUGUAUAUUGUCGACUGUCGCCUGUAAGCUAUUUAAUAUAAAGGUAGUACUGAAAAGUAUGUCCCAGUAUAAUAUAUCUAUAUUGUGUGUUUGUUUGCAUAACUGAUAUUUUUUCCUAUUUGUAGUUUAGUUUCUUUUUAUAUUAAACUUUUAUCCAAAGACGUU